AGUAGUACUCCCAAGGUUUUUUCAUCUGGUUACAAAGGUAGUAAUUCAGAGUCUUGUAAGGAGCAAGUGACUCCUAAUACUACAUGCGUUUAUACAUCUUCUUUCUGUUCUAAAAUCGCAUGUGAUAUUGUUACUCCAUCUGCUCUUUCGGAUACUCAUGUUUCUUCAUAUGUUUCUGUUGCUCAAGCUAAUACUGGAAUUGGCACUGGAGUUUUCCUCGGGGGACGGUGUUCGGUUGACAAGGUGGUGGCUUUUGGUGGUGUUGCUCCACCGGUGAUGGGAUCUAGGUCAAGCAAACGAAUUAUGCAUCAAAGUGAUGCUGACGCUACACAUAUGGAGAGGGCUCAAAAUUUGGCAAAGGCCAAGGACGGCCCAGCAUUUUUAGGUUAUUCCCUUGGUUACCCAUUGGAUCCAUAUGUGGUCCUAUCUCCAGCCGGAGGAUGUGCGCCAGGACAUGGAUAUUGGGUGCAACCGGUUGGCGACGGUAGCUCGGGAUUUCUACAGCCGGUGCGGCUGGCGUAUUGACAGGCGGCUCACAUGAAGAUCUUGUGGCGGCUUGUUUUUCUUUCUUUUUUCAGAUGGCUGGUUCAUGUUGAGACUCUUAGCGAUCCAUGAUUUGUAAUAAGUUUGUAUUUCGGAUUCGUUGAAUAAGUUAAUAAGAUUAAUAAAGGGCCGCAUGCAUCGAUUGAUGCAGAGGCUGGGGCUUUUCCCCCUUAUCGAAAAAAAAACAAGUUUCGGUUUUAGACAGUAACAGGGCAGUACAGAUGUUUGCGUGUUUGUUAAUUGGAAGGAGUAUAUUGUUCCUCAGUCUGUUCGCCCGUGGACGGUUGAGCUGAACAAUGAUGGACGAUGAUUACUUUCUCAGUUUGGUCAUUGCUGCUCCUGUAGGAAGAUUGCGAUUCAGUCACUUCUCCGCGGCUGCUGCUAAUGUGGAAAAAGAACACCUCUGUUUUU